UCGACAGGGCGUCAAAAUUCAAGCAGCAAAUUGGCCAGCUAACAAGCAAAAUACUAAAUAAAUCAAUCUAUGUCAAUGACGGUUAAAAACUACCAAUAGCUUAUUUAGAGUCAGUAAAAUCAGAAAGUGGGGGGUGCUCGAAACGGACCAAAA
rnacentral:sRNA from 1 species